rnacentral:lncRNA from 1 species
GUGCUCCUUCCCGGCAAGAAGGCCAGCAGACAUCAACAAUGGAUGCAGGUGCUCCUUCCCGGCAAGAAGGCCAGCAGACAUCAACAAUGGAUGCAGGUGCUCCUUCCCGGCAAGAAGGCCAGCAGACAUCAACAAUCGAUGCAGGUGCUCCUUCCGGGCAAGAAGGCCAGCAGACAUCCACAGUUGGUGCAGGCGCUCCCUCCCGGGGAGGAGCAUGGAUGGGGUCCCCGAGCUCUCAAUACAGCUCUUGGAGCCACGGCCAAUUUAUCACAAAUGGCGGCUGAGAAGAAAUGUAUUGGUCAACCCUGGACAAUGGAUGUGAAAGACAAGAGUUGGGGAGAGAAAUUAUGGCCAGAGGUUAUAGCUGGAAAUCUGCUGUGCAUUUGGCUUUUUGCUUAUUCACCUUCCCUUAGGUUCUCGAGGCCUUGGCUCGCCCACGAGGACAGAGGGAACUAGGUCAGUGUUCCACUCCAUGCUGCAGAGCUUCCAGAGCUCAGAAAGUGUUUCACUUUCUCUCUCUCUUCCAUUCAUUCAGUCAUUCAACAAGUGUUUGUUGAGUGCACUGUUGUGGAAGGAAGACACAGUUCCUGCCCUUUGAGACUCAGAGCCUAUCGGAGAGACAGACCUUAUCAAAAGAUCACCCCAGCACUUCAAAAUGCAAUUUUUGAUGCCUAAUGAGAAGGAGAGGUUUGCUGGCUGAU